UUCAUGGAGAGUUUGAUCCUGGCUCAGGACGAACGCUGGCGGCGUGCCUAAUACAUGCAAGUCGAGCGGACAGAUGGGAGCUUGCUCCCUGAUGUCAGCGGCGGACGGGUGAGUAACACGUGGGUAACCUGCCUGUAAGACUGGGAUAACUCCGGGAAACCGGGGCUAAUACCGGAUGCUUGAUUGAACCGCAUGGUUCAAUUAUAAAAGGUGGCUUUUAGCUACCACUUACAGAUGGACCCGCGGCGCAUUAGCUAGUUGGUGAGGUAACGGCUCACCAAGGCAACGAUGCGUAGCCGACCUGAGAGGGUGAUCGGCCACACUGGGACUG
rnacentral:rRNA from 1 species